GACGGAGGAUGCAAGCGUUAUCCGGAAUUAUUGGGCGUAAAGGGUGCGUAGGUGGUCAGACAAGUCCCAUGUCAAAGCAUGGUGCUUAACGCCAUAAAGGCGUGGGAAACUGUGUGACUAGAGUACAGCAGGGGCAGGAGGAAUUCCCGGUGUAGCGGUGAAAUGCGUAGAUAUCGGGAAGAACACCAGUGGCGCAAGCGUUCUGCUGGGCUGUAACUGACACUGAGGCACCACAGCUAGGGGACGGAAAGGG
rnacentral:rRNA from 1 species